GUACAAAUAGCUGCGGUACCGGAAACAAUUUGUGGAACUCGCCUUUACGAACGCUGUCACGCCAAAUUUCUUCCCAUUACAAAACCCUUCUUAUCCCCCAUUUACUUCCGGGGUCAUUUCCUCUUACGUCAUUUCCUCUUACUUACGUAAUUUCCUCUUACGUCAUUGACAGCAAUCGAUAGAAUCCAAAUCUCCUGAAAUGGUGGUGUCACUGAAUGAUAUUUGUCUUUAUCUUUCCCAGGGGACUUAUGUCAAACACCAGCAGGCUUCGAAACAUUUCAAGCGGAGUGUUAGGGCCUCUGCUGGGAACUUCUGUCUUCGUGAAGAGGUCCUGUACCAUGGGAACAGAAGGGUCAUUUUGACAGAGGAGGAGAAAGUGGCUGUGUUAACCGAAGCCCAUGCAGGCCAUUUUGGACCACGGAGGAUGCAAGCGAAGAUUGCUCCCCGGUUUUAUUGGCGGUCCAUCACACAGGACACAUUGGCUUGGGUUACAACUGAGUGUCCUGAGGUGAUGGCAGCUCCUGACCAGGCUGAUUCUCUGGAGGCCUUUGUGCAGCUCCGAGUGGGCCAGGAUGAGGACGUUUUUGGAAAGGUGAUCAACAAUGUGGAGAGGGCCCAAGAGAGACAGAAAUUGUCAUACCGGCAGAGGAUGAAGAAAGGGGCCAAGCGCUUCAUCAUCCAACCUGGAAUGGAGGUCCUCAAGAAGGAUGUGAGGAAGAAAGGGAGACCUGGGCGAACCAUGGACCCAAACUGGAGCCAGACCAUCUACAGGGCAAAUAUGUCUUCAUUGCCAACAUGUAUAUUGUACCAACGUGGAAGCACAAAGACGUUGAUCCAAUGUCAAGCCUUCCAAGGGAUGCACAUCUAAAGGAUGCACUCCUCUUCCCAGCGUGGAGCAAGCACAACGGGCCAGAGCAUUACCUUCUCUGUCUGGACAUGCAGUCAAUCCGGCGUUGGUGGUGUGUCCUUCUAAUGGAGCGCUUUGGCAUUGAAGGGUAGGACAACUUCUUGAAAUAUCUGAUGUAUUGUUUAUCAUGAUUAGUAGCUUCCUGCGAUGAGGUGGCGACUUGUCCAGGGCGUACGCUGCCUUCCGCCUGAAUGCAGCUGAGAUAGGCUACAGCGACCCCAAAAAGGGACAAGCGGUAGAAAAUGGGUGGAUGGAUGGAUGGAUGGAUUAGUAACUGUAAUCUGAAGAGCUUUUCUUCAAUUCCCCCAAAGGCAUGGCCAGAGGUUCUGUUAUUGGACAGACAAGGCGAGCGGCCUAUUGCAGGGCAUUCUUCAGCCAGUGUUUAGGGUAUCCAGAAACUCAGUCCAGGCCAUCGACUGCGUUAUCAAAGAAUAACUGAAUACAGUACUGGUGCCGUGUGUUAUUUGACAUGAGAAAAUGGAAUAAAACAAUUCUUCUGGAUGUAAAGCGUUGCUUCAAGUGUGACAUGUGCAAUACAUUCUGUUCUUCAUAAAUAAAAAAGGCAAUGACAAGAAGGUCUCCUUUUCCUAAGCGUGUGACUGAAUGUCUCCAGUGACGACUUCCUGCAAAAAUAGUAAGGGAGGAUGUGUGCAUAGGUACAGUUACUACAUAAACAUGUUUCAAAAUCAUGUUUCACUAUAAUCAUAAACAUUUAAUUUUGAUAUUUGUCACAAACUCACUUCAAGAUGUAGCCGUAAGCUUUUGUCUUGAGUAAAAAAAAAUCUAAAAGCAAAGCACUAGUUACUGUAGAUUUCUUUGGUGUUUGGCUAUAGUUAAGCCAUCUCCUGAACUGAAAAUGUACAGAGCUCAAGU